rnacentral:misc_RNA from 1 species
AUUUUGAAUUUGAUUUUCUACUCUUGACAACUGCUGUCCUAUAGUGUGCAAACUUAGGUUAGUAAAGUUUUGUUGUUUAUCUGUUCUGGAGAAAAGACUACAAUCAACUUUUUGAUUUUCAUUCACCUUAUAAGAUGAAUCUACCAGUGGUGGAUGUAUGCUUUUUAGUAGUUUUCCUUUGAAUAAGAUAAAGUUCUUAUAGGCUGAUUCUAAAGUUAUUAAGAAUAUUCUGUCUGUAGCUCCUUUAACAAAGGAUUCAAA